GCACUACUGACGAGUCUCAUACUAGACGAAACGGUCGUCUAGUGC
rnacentral:hammerhead_ribozyme from 1 species